CUCUCCCUCCACCAGUGCCGGUAUACAAGAAGCCGGUCCCUCCCCCCGUCCCGGUCUACAAGAAGCCUCACCCUCCGCCCGUCCCAAUCUACAAGAAACCUCUCCCUCCACCUGUCCCAGUCUAUAAGAAGCCUAACCCUCCACCAGUCCCAGUAUACAAGAAACCUUACCCUCCACCAACACCAAUCUACAAGAAACCUCUCCCUCCUCCCGUCCCAGUCUAUAAGAAGCCUAACCCUCCACCAGUCCCAGUAUACAAGAAACCUUGCCCUCCACCAAAACCAAUCUACAAGAAACCUCUCCCUCCACCUGUCCCAAUCUAUAAGAAGCCUCUUCCACCACCAGUUCCAGUAUACAAGAAGCCACUUCCACCACUAGUCCCCAUAUACAAGAAGCCAUUUCCACCACCAGUCCCAAUAUACACAAAGCCACUUCCACCACCAAUCCCAAUAUACAAGAAGCCACUUCCACCACUAGUCCCCAUAUACAAGAAGCCACUUCCACCACUAGUCCCCAUAUACAAGAAGCCAUUUCCAC
rnacentral:lncRNA from 1 species